GUAUCUUAGGAACUUCAUCCUUGGUGUGGUGUUUCUGUAAACAACUGUCAGUAUGUCCAGUGGAUUGAAAACUUCUAAAUUUGGGUGGAAAUACAAAUCCUAUUUCCAGUCUAAUGGAAAUUGGAAACACUGAAGAGAUUGUCUAGGCUGAAUUCAAUGAAUGUCCUUCACAGCAAGAGAGAAUCCUCAGCAACAGAGACUGAACUUCUCAAAAAGCGAGAACAAAAAAGGAUUGUCACUCUCUGAAUUCUUAUUUGACAAAGAAAUUCUGUAUAUUUGAAAUGAAACAACAGCUCCUAAAAAUAUUUUUCUCCGUUGGUCAAAAGAACUCUAUAGAAUCUUUUGUUACUACACAGUGGAGUACUGCAACAAUGCCUAUCAUUUUUCACUUUAGCCUGAGGUUUUUUUACUCAAUGUUAAAUAAUACAGGACAGCAGUUGGUUCAUUUCAUCUAGGCUGUCCUGCAGUUGCCUUUUGAUUCUCAUUUUACUGGCUAUGCAGAGAAGAUGCCUUUCAAAACCUUAAUUGCCAGAGACAGUUGUGAAGUAUUCACCAGGAUUUACUGCUUUCAUGUUGUGAUGUACCUUCUCAGCAAAGUGACCCUGGUGGUUAGGAAGCAUAUUGUAUAAAUGGCAAUUUAACAAGGGCUUGGAGACUAUGAGGACUCCAAAGAACACUUCAUUUCGAUAUUUCCUUGUUAUGGAGUGCUUAAUGGAAAAAAAUCCUGCCAAGAAUUCCAAUGAAGAUAACCUGGAUACCUGGCCAGACAUGUUGGGGAAAAGUGGCGUGAAACUCCUAUAACAGCAGUAAACACAGUAAAUUACAGAUCCAUUAAGUCCAAUAUUGCAGUUUCUCUAACAUGAAGGAGAAGCACUGAAAGUUAAAGAAGUCUCAUUUGCUGAAGUGUAUACACAGAGCUGUCUACUGCAAGUUGUUGGCAGGACAAUUAAUCACAGUAUUGAUAUUCACAGUAAGAAUAACAGUCCAGAACAUGACAAGUAUGCUGGUAGCUUUCCUGUUUUUAAGAAUGCCUGAAAAAAUAAUAUAUGAUAGACUGAUCACAUGUUUUAAUCCAAGUAUUUUGAAAAUUCAGUUUCUGGUGACACUUUACUGUAGUCUCUGUAUGAGAAAGUUAACUGCCUUAUUUACUUUAUUGCUUGUUAACUUUGGAAAAAAUACUGAGCAAUUAGAUGUCAGUAUUAGGUAUUUCAUUACUGAUAUUUGGGGAUGAACUUGCUUUACAAUGCUGAGGUCCAAGCUUGUAUGGAUUCACACUUUACUGAGGUGUUAAACUUCUGUGCACCUUUCAGAAAACUGCUGUGAUGAACCUCAGCAGGCAGCUCACCACCAUACAGCUGCUCACUGACUUGCGUGCUCCUGUCCUCCCUGCUGGCAGGGCAGUGUAAGAAAUAUAAAACUCCCUGGCUCUGUGUAGCACUGCUCAGCAAUAGCUAAAUGAUCAGCAUGUUAUCAACACUGUUUUUGUCCAAAUCCAAAACAUAGCAGCAGAUAGGCUACUAGGCUGAAAACUAACUGUCCUAGCCAAUGAUAAUACACUUCCCUAAUUUAUGGAGGUGUUAAACUUCCAUGCUUUUAAAAGUCUUGAUUCCUUCUCCUUUCUGUCAUAUUUUUUUGUUUCAAGCAAAAUUUUAUGAACAAAACCAACCCUAUUUACUGGUAUAGAAUCAUAGCCCUGUCCACCUACAGUUCAAAAGUCUGUGAUGUUUUGCAAAUUAAGGGAAUGAUGUUAUAUACUAAAUAAAUAGUUAUGCAGGCAAACUGAAUAUAAUAGAGUUUGUAACAGCGGUGUCACAGCAUAUGACCAUUAACAACACAGAAACCACUCUGGAGACAAUACCUGUGAGACUAAAAUGUAGAAAUAUUAUUUAUGAAGUUAAAUAACAAAAUUAUAUGUAAAAUGGAAAAUAGUGUGUAUGAAAUCAAGGCAGUUAUUACAGAUAGAUUUUUGGCCUAUGAUGCUGUUAGUCACCAAGACCUGAAGAAACAGAUGUGACUUUUAUAACUCCUCAUGGAUCUUCAGACUAAAUCAGAUCAUUUACACAGUCCUUUCACUCUAUUCUUCAGAUGAUGAUGACUGAGGAUUCAAGCGAGCACCACCAGAGGUAACAACUUAACUGGGCCCUUAACAGAAGGUGGGAAUGCUGUCAGCAAAAUCAAACUGUACAAUAGAUUAUUUUUUAAAAAAUGGCUGUUACCUCUGUCAGAUACUGGACAACAAAUGUGUGAGACUAGUGAAUGUCUAGACACUUCUGUCUUAUACCAAAAUUGCUUGCCAGACUGAAACUGUAAAAUUAAAGCUGGAAGAUUAUCAACAAAGCGAUCAUCAGUUCAGAAAGGUGGCUGCCAGCACAGGAAACGUAUGACUUUU
ensembl:lncRNA